rnacentral:rRNA from 1 species
AAUGAACGUUGGCGGCGUGGAUUAGGCAUGCAAGUCGAGCGCGAUGAGUUUGGUAGCUUGCUAUUGAACUCGGAAAGCGGCGAAAGGGAGAGUAACGCGUAGUUACGUGCCCCAGGGUUCGGAAUAGCCACGGGAAACUGUGGGUAAUGGCGAAUAACAUCCUCGGAUCAAAGGUGUGAUUCCGCCCUGGGAGCGGACUGCGUCCUACUAGCUAGUUGGCGGGGUAAUGGCCCACCAAGGCAACAAUGGGUAGCGGGUGUGAGAGCAUGACCCGUCUCACUGGGACUGAGACACUGCCCAGACACCUACGGGUGGCUGCAGUCGAGAAUCUUCGGCAAUGGGCGAAAGCCUGACCGAGCGACGCCGCGUGCGGGAUGAAGGCCCUCGGGUUGUAGACCGCUGUCGUAGGGGAGGAAGGCUCUGUGAAGAACAGGGUUUGACCUAUCCUAGGAGGAAGUACGGGCUAAGUUCGUGCCAGCAGCCGCAGUAA